rnacentral:rRNA from 1 species
CCUACGGGUGGCAGCAGUGAGGAAUAUUGGUCAAUGGACGCGAGCCUGAACCAGCCAAGUCGCGUGCAGGAUGACGGCCCUACGAGUUGUAAACUUCUUUUGUAAAAGGGUAAAGUGAGACACGUGUGCCUUUCUGUAUGUACUUUAUGAAUAAGGAUCGGCUAACUCCGUGCCAGCAGCCGCGGUAAUCCGGAGGAUCCAAGCGUUAUCCGGAUUUAUUGGGUUUAAAGGGAGCGUAGGUGGGUUGUUAAGUCAGUGGUGAAAGUUUGAGGCUCAACCUUAAAAUUGCAAUUGAUACUGGUAGGCUGGAGUGUAGUUGAGGUAGGCGGAAUGUGUGGUGUAGCGGUGAAAUGCUUAGAGAUCAUGAAGAACACCGAUUGCGAAGGCAGCUUACCAAGCUGCUACUGACAUUGAGGCUCGAAAGUGUGGGUAGCAAACAGGAUUAGAUACCCCAGUAGUC